rnacentral:rRNA from 1 species
GACCUACGGGAGGCAGCAGUGGGGGAUAUUGGACAAUGGGGGGAACCCUGAUCCAGCGACGCCGCGUGAGUGAAGAAGUAUUUCGGUAUGUAAAGCUCUGUCAGCAGGGAAGAAAGCAAUGACGGUACCUGACCAAGAAGCCACGGCUAACUACGUGCCAGCAGCCGCGGUAAUACGUAGGUGGCAAGCGUUGUCCGGAAUUACUGGGUGUAAAGGGAGCGCAGGCGGGAAGCCAAGUCAGCUGUGAAAACU